rnacentral:lncRNA from 1 species
GAUGUAAGAAAAAUUACCAACUUGACCCUUAGCCCGAGUAUCAUAUUUGGUUAUUUACUAAAAUCCCCCUUUGGAGGAGAAGGAUGGAUUGUUAGUGUGGAUGAUUUAGAAGAUAUAAUCAGAGGACAUGUAUGGUUAGGUUCCAUUUGUAUACUUGGUGGAAUCUGGCAUAUCUUAACCAAACCCUUCGCAUGGGCUCGACGCACACUUGUAUGGUCUGGAGAGGCUUACAAGGAUGGAUUCUUAUAAUUUAAUCCAUAACAAUUUUCGCAUUGAACCCACAAAUGCCUGUACUUUUGAGUUACCUCGAGAUCAUUAGAACUUUCUCUUAAACCCUCACAGGUACCCUAAGGCGAUGAGAGUUGAGACAAAAUAAAAUAGCCUCUUUGGUGAAAAGCCUCACGGACACCGUGAAGCGAAGGUAAGGCAAGAAGCAACACUCAUAAAGGGGUUGUUGGUGGAAAUCUGCUCAUGAACACUGUAAGUCAAGAAAAGCUAGGAUUUGGUUGAAGGAAUCGGGUUAGAAAUGGUUUCAACAACAAAAGCAUGGAAACAGAAGGUCGGUCAUUGGGACAGACUGGGUUGACUAGGCCGAAGUGCAUGUCAUGAUCAUGAAAAGCAUCUGUUCUUCCUCAGAUAAGUUUUCUUUCUCUUCUUUUCAACAGUCAAUGAAUCUGGAAUUCUUUACCCUAAAUACCGUUCGAGUCAUUGCAUUUUAUUUUUCUUUCGAGUCUCUAAAGUCUUUUGUUUAAGCAAACGAGAGGAAUUUCAAAGACUAUUAUUAGCUCCUGAAGGACCAAACGCAUGACACCCAAAAGUGUAACAAAGAUAAUGAAUGCGGAAUAGCAAGAGGAUGGAUUCAUAAAAACUGCAAUUGAUGGAAGAGACAAGAGUCGUCAAAGUGAAGGAGUACCACACAAAAACGGGCAUGCAAAGUAAAACCACAAAGGUUCUAGGGGUCAACCGAGCAUCAUAAAUGUACCGAGUAAUCUCAGGGAGAGGUGUAAGGAUUUUAGUGAAGGCUCGAAAAUGUAAACACCAAGAUGAGGAACAAAACAAAGCCUCAAGGGUCAGAGGCUCAGCCAAGCAUAAAACCCAAACUCAGUAGUCGUCGGAGAAGGGUAUAAGGCUUCUGGCAAAAGAGGCAAAAGCGCAACACAAAGAGGGAAAAGGUCAUGAGGGUUGACCUAACAUGAUAUAUCAACUCAUCAAUCGUCAGAAAGGGGCAUAAAUAAUUCUGGAAAAAGUGUCAGAAGUGCAACACAAAGUGGGGAGCAAAGUAAAGAGACAAAGGGAAAAGGUCAACCAAACAUCAUAGACAGACCGGGUGAUUUCAAGAAAUGGUGCAAAGAUUUUGGAAAAGGAGCAGAAAUGUAACACAAAGAUGAAGAACAAAGUGAAUCCACAAGUUUCAGAGGGUUGGACAAAGCAUAAUACAUUAAUUCAUCAAUCAUCGGGGUAAGACAUAAAGAAUUCCGACAAAGAAUUAUAAAUGUAAAACAAUGAUGGGGAGAAAGUAAAGCGUAAAGGUUUCGAGGGGUCAGCUGAGCAGUUCAAUGGAACACAACGGAACACGAUAGUGGGGAGGCCGUUUCUAACAAGAAUGCCACAAGCUAACCACCACUCUUCAAAUUGACUAGUUUUCUUUGAUUAACACAGGGGCAGAAAAUUCCAGAAGAGCCUAAGGGAGGCCGCCCACAGGAGAGGACAAGCACAUGGCAGGUAUGAUCAAAACCUCAAGGCCCAUCUGAAAAUGGGACCCAGUUCAAACUCAAAAAGAACAUAGUCCAUCAUAAAUAUCCUUCCCAGCAAAGAGCACAAUGGGACAAACAUUAAUUAGCAAACCCCAAUAGAAACAACCAAUGGUUAAAAGAGGUAUGGAAGUUGAGAUGGAACGCGGUUGUCAUAAGUAUCCUCCCUAGCAAAGAGCACAAGGGGAUAAACUUUAACCAGCAAACCCCAACAGGAACAAUUGAGGGUUAAAAGAAGCAUAGAAAUGGAGAUGGAACGCAGUUUAAAACUCAAACAGGUGCGGGUAACAUGGGCAAGCACCAACACCUUCCCCAGUAAGAGUCGCAGAAACCCUCCUGGACAAUAAUCACUAGCAGAAAGAACCAGAAGUUAGAAUUGGCAUUUAAGUUGGAACCUUCAGGACCCUCCAGGAAAAUGGGACUCAUUUAAAGGUUAGGGGUAAUCAUGGAUAGAAAUGGGCACAAAAUGACUUGCAUGUUGAAGUAGGAUUUAGCUAAGAGUUGUGAGGACCCUCCUGAAAAAUGGGACUUAGCCUAACAACAGAAACAGUCGGGUAACAUGGGCAGGCUCAAAUAUCUCCCAACAAGAGUCAACAAGAGUCGUCAGUACCCGUCUGGAUAAUGGAUUUAAUCGUAGGAGUUGUUAGGACCCCCUAGAUAAUGGAACGUAGCUCUAAAUACUGACCCCCAGCAGACACAGUUGGUCAUCUAAUUAAGAGUUGUUAGGACCCGCCUGGAUAAUGGAAAGUAGUUUUAAUCACCAGUCACCGGCAGACCCCCAGCAAAUAUAACUCAUAACAAGACACAGUAGAAAAUAAUACCUUCCGAGAGACAUAACAUAGUCUUAAAGUUGUCAUCAGAUAAGAAUUGUUAGGACCCUCCUGGAUAAUGGGACUUAGCUUAGAUUUAGAGAUGUUUGGUAAAGGUAUUCGAUUAACACUCACGGGUCUGCCCAGCACCAAACUGAGGCAGAAAGAAAUUUUUGCGUUUUGUUUGUCUUGUUAUGGUCAGGUACAUAGGCAAUCAGGCGUCCACAUGUAGAACAAGGGAAUAUUUUUCAAAAAUUUCAAGUUUUGGCAAUCAGGCGCCCACCUGUAGAAUAAGGGAAUAUUUUUUAAAUUUUCAAGUUUUGAUAAUCAGGAGCCCACCUGUAGAACAAAGGAAUAUUUCUCAAAAUUUCAAGUUUUGAUAAUCAGACAGCCACCUGUAGAACAAGGGAAUAUUUUUCAAAUUUUCAAGUUUUGAUAAUAAGGCGCCUACCUGGAGAACAAGGGAAUAUUUUUCAAAUUUCAAGUUUUGGUAAUCAGGCACCCACUUGGAACAAGGGAAUACCUUUCAAGAUUCAGAUCUGGUAAUCAAGCGCUCACCUGUAGAAUAAGGGAAUAUUUUUCAAAUUUCAAGUUUUGAUAGUCAGGCGCCCACCUUUAGAACAAGGGAAUAAAAGUUUCAAGUUUUCAUAAUCAGGAGCCCACCUGUAGAACAAGGGAAUAUUUUUCAAAACUUCAAGUUUUGAUAAUCAGGCGCCCACCUGGAGAACGAAGCAAUAUUUUUCAAAUUUCAAGUUUUGGUAAUCAGGCGCCCACCUGUAGAAUAACGGAAUAUUUUUCAAAUUUCAAGUUUUGGUAAUCAGGCGUUCACAUGUAGAACAAGGAAAUAUUUUUCAAAUUUCAAGUUUUGGCGAUCAGGCGCCCACCUGUCAGAAUAAGGGAAUACUUUCAAAUUUCAAGUUUUGGUAAUCAGUCGCCCACCUGUAGAACAAGAGAAUAUUUUUCAAAAUUUCAAGUUUUGGCAAUCAGGCGCCCAUCUGUAGAAAAAGGGAAUAUUUUUUCAAAAUUUCAAGCUUUGAUAACCAGGCGCCCACCUGUUGAACAAGAGAAUAUUUCAAAAUUUCAAGUUUUAGUAAUCAGGCGUCCACCUGUAGAACAAGGGAAUAUUUUUUAAAAUUUCAAGUUUUGAUAAUCAGGCGCCCACCUGUAGAACAAGGAAAUAUUUUUCAAAGAUGCAAGUCUUGGCGAUCAGGCGCCCACCUGUAGAACAAGGGAAUAUUUUUCAAAAUAUCAAGCUUUGAUAAUCAAGAGUCCAUCUGUAGAACAAGGGAAUACAUGUCAAGUCCAACAAUUCGGGAACAAACAUAGAAGAAAAGAAGGCAAGGAGUCAAUAAGGCGACAAUGAGUUUACAGGAAGGAAUGCUAGUCAACAAGGCAGCAACGAGUUCAUAGAAAGAAAUACAAGGCAACAAAGCAACAAGGAUCAAAAGAAGAUUGAAGACAUAGAUAUGUUCUUUUGUAAUCUGUAGUUCAUAGCUUAGUCUAGUUCUUCUUAUUUUUCACGAGGUGUAAUAAGGAGGUCGCAAGCAGUAACAGCAGCACAAGUAGUGAAAUCAUAGCUCGUGGUAGUCCCAGCUACCAAACACUGCAGAAGAACACUAACCUGAUUCCUUUAUAGCCAAGGAUAUGUAGGCAACUUUUGAAGCAAGGUUCGGUCAGACAGUUUUCAAAAUGCUUCUCAUGGAAUUCAAAGUAGGAAAAAAUCUCUCAGUUGCUCAUUUAUUUUUGCCCAGAAAUCUUUCGUGUCUCCGAACAAAUAGGGGUAGCUGUGAGCAUGUGAUUUUUGCCUCGCUUGGCAUGUUCCUAUAAAAUUCAUUAAGUUAGGAUUUUCUAUUAUUAAUUAAAAGUUUUGUGUGAUUUUGUGUUUAUUUGCACUUUUUUAUUAUUUGAAUUUUUAGGAAUUAAUUGUGUGACUUGGUUUAUUUGCGUCUUUCUUUUAUUAUUUUAAUUUUUAGGAUUUAUUUGCGUGAUUUUGUGAUUGUUUGAAUUUUAAGAAUUAAUUGUAUAAUUUUAUGUUUAUUUGCAUGUUGCACGUUUUAAUUUACAUAAUUCAUAAAAAAUAUAAAAAAUGGCAUGCUUGCAUCUAGGAUUUAAAUUUUACAUUUUUUAGGUUAUUAAUUAGUUAAUAUUGAAAAUGAGGAAAAAAUAACAAAAAUUGGUUAAUUUUCUUUGAAAUUUAGAAUUUAGGAGUUUAUUUAGUCAAUUUCUUGUUAAAUAUGUUUUUGGCUAUUUUUAUUUUUAUUUUUACUUUUUUAUUAAAAAUCUGAAAAAAAAAUAAUGAAACAAAAAUAUAUAAAAAGAGAAUCAUUGAUUGCAUACUAAUAUGGGUCUUUAAGAGAGAAAAUUUGGCCCAAACCUCCCAGUCUAGCAGACCCAGCCCAAUCCCCCCCCCNNNNNNNNNNNNNNNNNNNNNNNNNNNNNNNNNNNNNNNNNNNNNNNNNNNNNNNNNNNNNNNNNNNNNNNNNNNNNNNNNNNNNNNNNNNNNNNNNNNNNNNNNNNNNNNNNNNNNNNNNNNNNNNNNNNNNNNNNNNNNNNNNNNNNNNNNNNNNNNNNNNNNNNNNNNNNNNNNNNNNNNNNNNNNNNNNNNNNNNNNNNNNNNNNNNNNNNNNNNNNNNNNNNNNNNNNNNNNNNNNNNNNNNNNNNNNNNNNNNNNNNNNNNNNNNNNNNNNNNNNNNNNNNNNNNNNNNNNNNNNNNNNNNNNNNNNNNNNNNNNNNNNNNNNNNNNNNNNNNNNNNNNNNNNNNNNNNNNNNNNNNNNNNNNNNNNNNNNNNNNNNNNNNNNNNNNNNNNNNNNNNNNNNNNNNNNNNNNNNNNNCCCCCCCCCCCCCUCAACCCAGUCCAGCCCCGGAGACGCCUAAACGACGUCGUAUCUCCCAAAGUGAUCUCAACCGUCAAGGUUGAUCGAUCCAACGAAUGAGAACUAGACUGACUCUAAUAUAAAAUUAUCUAAAAACCCCCCACCCACCCCUCCAAACCAUCUACCAUAUACCCCAAUUACGAUAGUAUAUCACCACCAUUCGCCGCCUUCCUGCCACAAUCCGACGCCGGCCGGAUAUCGUCGGCAACGGCGAUACUCUAAACGACCUCAAAUUCACACCACAGCUUCCCUGCCACCCCCUCUUCCCAAAUCCCAACUUUGCUUCUCUCGAAUUUCUGCCGAGCUCUUCGAAUAUAUGAUUAUGUGGUCACAGUUUCCACCACCCAUGGCGGCGUUAUUCCCAAACCCUCCCAGAUUUAUAUCCAUGCACCCUCGUGACCUCUCCUUCCUAGUCCUAUAAUUUUUUGGGUUCGAAUCAUACCACAUCUCCUCAAAUUUUAGUUUGAACCGUCCAGCCAAAAUACAACCCUUCCCAAAAUCCGCCAAAUUAACACCAUAGACUCUCCUCACACCCCUCAUCUUGAAUCCACAACCCUCAGUCCUCGAAUCCUUCCCGAUAAGGUCAAACUUCAAAUCAAAAAAUUGGACCUAGAACCCUAGUUGUUCAAGCUUUGGGAUAUCCUUGAUUUUGGGCUUUAAUAUCCCUUAGUCUUGUGUUUUCCAGUGGAAAACACACGAUUAAGGACGGUUUGACCCCGAAAAUGCCGAGAAAUUCGUCGGUGUUUGAGCCUGAAUCAGAGUCCGAGGUAUUUUGCUUUUACUUUUUAUUUCCUUUUAUGAUUCCUAUUUUCGUUUCGUUGUUUUGUUCCAUUGUUAUUUUUGUGAUUAGUUUAGGACUUCACUUCAAUUUUUUGUUUCUUUUUCCUACCAUAAAGUUUAUAUUUAUUAGUAAUGCGAAUAGGUUCGAUUUGAUUCCAUGUAUUGUUGGGUUUGUUUAUUCUGCAUAAUGAGUUCUAGUUGUUCUUCUUGUUGGCUGGUUUAAUUUUAGUUCUUUGAUACAAUUAAAUUCAUUAGAGGUUAAUCUCCAUUUGUUUAGCUAGGGUAGUUAGAUUGAAUGUUGGUUACAGCUGGGAAAUUUCUAGGUCAUGAGCUAAUUGACCAUGGUUAGCUGACUAGCGUAAGAGGGAGCUGAAAAUGCAACUAUGUCAUUUAGGUAAUUCUUGGAAGAGGUAGGGGUAAUAUAAGUAAUCCAGCUUGAGGAGCAUGUAGUCACUAUCCUUAGAAACUUCUAGAAUAUGGGUCAAAUUGAAAUUCAGACCUUUUGUUUUGUUAUAACUUGGGUAGCAAGCUAGAAAAUAAGGGACUAAGGUAGUAAAUCUGAAAAUGGGACAAGGAAUAGAGGCCAACUUAAACAAUCUGAAGUGAGCCCUAAUAGUUGGCAUAUAAGGCAUCAAUCUUUCUUAGGAGAGGGGAUUUUUUAAAAGGAACUUACUGAAAAUCUGAGAGUGAAACAAAAAAAAAAGCCGAAAACUCCAAAUAUACAGGCUGAAAAAACCCCAAAAUAUAGAAGUUUGAUUAGAGAGUUUAAAAAUCCAGAAAAAUGCUACUGUUUCAUUGAAUGAUCUCCGAAAUUCUUGUGGGAUCUACUCUAUAACAAAUUUUAAGCAAGCUGAUAGCUAAAAUGAGCUGAGAUAGGUGGUAUCCAAGUGUUGGGAUCAUUUUGGUCGAAAUCCGAUUUGGUGCUUUGAGUGACCUUGUGUGAAUUUGAAAUUGUUCAAAGUAGUGUCCGAUAGCUAUUCCAGGGUUGGUUUUGCUGUUGGAUUGCUCCUGUUGCUGCUCUUCUACUGUUUCCUUAUUUCUCUGCCUUCUUUUGCUAUUUUCAGGUAUAUUCCAGCCCCUUGGAGCCCAUUUAAGCAUGUAAAUUGAAGUAGUGAUUUGAGGAACAAAUGUAUACAUUAUUAUUGUUGUGUCUCAUUUCAUUUUAUAGCUCUUGAAGUUGAAUUCAUGAAAUUUCUAAAGUAAGUUGUAUUUGGUUGGAUUGUGCAGUCAUGUAAUAGCUUCCCUUCUGAUACCACCAAUCAGACGGUACAGUAGUGUAGAUUUGGGUUAUGUGUAUACUAUUUAUUUGAGUCGCCUUAUUCCAUUGAGUUUAGUCUUGUUAUAGUUGUAGUUUGAUCCUUGGCAUCGCUAUAAUUUAAUCGUGGUUACAAUUUCGGACUUCAUGUGCUGAAUGCAUCUUCCAGGAAGUUAUGAUGUUAGAUUAGUUUAAACAAAUCCAUAUUAGUCUUAAAUUUGUUGUACGUUUGAGUUUCAGUUGCUUGUUUUCUUCUGGAUGAUGGAUCUACUGAGUUGGGCUUCACUUAGGAGCCCAACUAUUUUCAUAUGUGAGAUUUCUCGUGAUGACUGUUAGCGUGUCCUCGUGAGUCUGGGCCUAAUUGGAGAACUUUCCUUCAAAUGUAACUAAGACUCAAUCUAAUAGGUCGGGCCAUUGUCUUCCUUGCAUUGGAAGAAUUAAUAGAUAACAAACUGAUAUGGCACUCCAGGCAUUUUAUUUUAAGUGUCCAUUAAAAUGGACUCCAGGUGUGCCGCGCCAAUUAAAAAUCACAAAUGCGUGGCCUACUCUAGUUAUGGCUUUAAAAAUAAUUAGAGAUUCAGGACACGCCAUUUAGCGAAUUUCACGGCUUUCCCGCAAAGAUAAUAAUAUGUUAGUCGCUUUUAGGCGCGUCUUUAACAAUUUUAUCUUCUUAAGUCCGGAUGCGCAUUUAUGUGACCCAAAUCCAAAUCUCAACGAAGUUGAAAUGUGUCUAAAACCGCGGGUGCAUUUAUGUGAUGUGGCUCGAGACACGUUUUAACGACGUUGUAAUCCUCUUUAAAAUAAUAAUAAUAAUAAUAAUAAUAAUAAAGUGGUCAAAAUAUUUAAAAUGCACAUAGGUUCAUAAUUGUGUAAAAUCAUAUGGUUGAAGCCAAAUAUAACAGUUGAGCAACCAUGCAAGAACCAUGGAACCCGGGAAUGCCUAACCCCUUCUCCCGGGUUAAUAGAAUUCCUUACCCGGAUUUCUGGUUUGCAGACUAUUAAACAAAGUCAUUUUUUCCUCGAUUCGAGAUUCUAAAACUUGGGACACCAUAAAUCUCCCAAGUGGCGACUCUGAAAUUCUCUUAAAUAACUGAAUCCAUUUCGAUUAUCCUGUAACUAAAAAACUCCCUUAUCUACGCCCUUCACUGGGUUGUAGUAGCCAAAAGGAGGUGUGACACUUAUCGCUUCUGCGGUUUCUCAUCAAUGACACAGGGCCACAUCUGUGGCAAAAUUCUCGUAGGUGCGUAACCGCAUCUGCAGUUAAUCUUCCGCACCUACGGAAAAGCUGAGGGAGCCCAAAUUCCGCUCCUGUGAUAGGAUAGCUGCUUAUGCGGCUCCGCUUCUGCGGUACCCAAGCCGCAGAAGUGAAAAUACCAUAAGAGAAGAAUCAGUUGCUGCAACACUUAAAAAAUUUCUCCGUUAACCACCUGAAAUCAUCUCGAGGCCCCUGAGACUUCAACCAAAAGCAUCAAUAACACCAAAUACCCUAUUCGAACUUGUACAAAUCCUUAAACACCUAAAAUAACACCGGAAAUUCGAUUUAAUCAAUUAUUUAAGCCUAAGAACUUCAAAUUUCAUCAAAAUACACUUUCGAUCAAAAUCCUAACCAAAACACGCCCGAAUGACCUGAAAUUUUGCACACACAUCCCAAAUGACAUGAUUGUGCUACUACAACUUUCGGAAUUCCAAUCUGACCCUCGGAUCAAAAACUCACUAUCGGACCGGAAACUUCAAAAAUUCAAACUUUGGCAUUUCAAGCCUAAAUAAGGUAAGGCAAGCUCGUAAGCAACCUCCCCAACUCGCCUCAAAAUCUCAAAAGGGCAAAUAACUCUCUGGAUCAACUUCCCUUUCUUCCCAAACCUCAUGACGCCUUUCAUAGGCGAGACCCGAAGUAGGACCCGCUCACCAACCAUAUGGUAAACAUCACGAACCUUCCGAUCUGCGUAAAUCUUCUGUCGGGACUGGGCUGUAUGGAGUCUGUCCUGAAUCACCUUAACCUUCUCCACCGCAUUCUAGACCAAAUCAGUGCCCAAUAGCCUGGCCUCACCCGGCUCAAACCAACCCACCGGGAUCUGCAUCUCUUACCAUAUAAAGCCUCAUACGACGCUAUCUGAAUUCUAGACUGAUAAAUGUUGUUGUAAGCAAACUCCGCCAGUGGCAAGAACUGAUCCCAAGACCCUCCAAAAUCAAUCACACACGCACGUUGCAUAUUCUCAUAAAUCUAAAUGGUGGCUCGAACUAUCCGUCCGUCUGGGGGUGAAAUGAUGUGCUCAUCGCCACCUAAGUACGCUACUCCUAUUGAACGACUCUCCAGAACCGUGAUGUGAACUGAGUAAUUCCGUCUGAAAUGAUAGAAACUGGAAUACCAUGUAGACAAACAAUCUCCCAGAUAUAAAUCUAUGUCAAUCGCUCCAAUGAAUAAGUAGUACACAUAGGGAUAAAAUGUGCGAACUUGGUUAGCUGGUCCACAAUCACCCAAAUGGCAUCAAACUUCUUCACUGUCCGAGGGAGACCAACUACAAAAUCCAUGGUGAUCCUCUCCCAUUUCCACUCCGGAAUCUCUAUCUGCUGAAGGAACCCACCUGGUCUCUCGUGCUCAUACUUCACCUGCUGACGGUUGAGGCAUCUAGCUACAUAUCCAACUAUAUCCUUCUUCAUCCGCCUCCACCAAUAGUGUUGUUUCAGGUCUUGAUACAUCUUCAUGGCACCAGGGUGGAUGGAAUACCACGAACUAUGGGCCUCUGCUAGAAUCAACUCCCGUAGCCCAUCAACAUUGGGCACACAAACACGGCCCAACAUCCUCAACACCCCAUCAUCUCCAACGGUCACCUCUCUGGCAUCGACAUGCUGAACCGUGUCCCUCCAAUGGUCACCUCUCGGCAUCGCCAUGCUGAACCGUGUCCUUAAGGAUAAAUAAAUGAGGGUCAUUAUACUGUCGCUCCCUAAUACGAUCGAACAAUGAAGACCGAGAAACCACGCAGGCUAGAACCCGACUGGGCUCCAAAAGAUCCAAUCUCACAAACUGACUAGCUAAGGCCUGAAAAUCCAUCUCCAUAGAUCUCUCUGAAGCUGGUAAAUAAGAAAAAACUCCCCAAAAUCUCCGCCCGACGACUCAAGGCAUCUGCUACCACAUUGGCCUUGCCCGAGUGAUAUAGAAUAGUGAUAUCAUAGUCCUUUAGCAACUCUAACCACCUCCUCUUGCACAAAUUUAGACCCUUCUGCUUGAACAAAUGCUGCAAACUUCUAUGAUCAGUAUAAAUCUCACAAGGCAGACCGUACAAAUAAUGACACCAAAUAUUCAAGGCAUGAACAAUAGCAGCUAACUCAGGGUCGUGGACGGGGUAAUUCUUCUCAUGUAACUUAAACUAUCUGGACGCGUAGGCAGUCACCCUACCGUCCUGUAUAACCACUAAUCAAAGGCCAACCCAUGAGGCAUCACAAUAGACUGUAUAAGAUCACGAACCAGUAGGCAAUAUCAGAAUAUGGGCUGUAAUCAAAGCCGGUUUGAGCUUCUGAAAGCUUGCCUCACACUCCCAUGUUCGAUAAAAUAGAGCACCCUUAUAGGUCAAUCUAGUCAUAAGGGCUGCAAUCGAUGAAAACCCCUCCAUAAAACGACGGUAAUAACCCAACAAGCCAAGGAAACUGUGAAUCUUUGUGGCUGAGGAUGGCCUGGGCGACCUCUCCACGGCCUCUAUCUUCCUAGAAUCUACCUGAAUACCCUCACUCAAAACCACAUGGCCGAAGAAUGCCACUGAAUCCAACCAAAACUCACAUUUUGAGAACUUCGCAUAUAACUUCUUCUCCAAAAAACUGUGAAUCUAUGUAGCUGAGGAGGGCCUGGGCCAACUCUUCACGGCCUCUAUCUUCCUUGAAUCUACCCAAAUGCCCUCGCUUGAAACCACAUGGCCUAAAAAUGCCAUUGAAUCCAACCAAAACUCACAUUUUGAGAACCUCGCAUAUAACUUCUUCUCCCUUGGGGUCUGAAGCACGGCCCUCAGGUGCUGCUCAUGAUCUUCCUGACUUCGGGAAUACACCAUAAUAUCAUCAAUAAAAACAAUAACGAAUGAGUCGAGAUAUGGCCUGAAUAUAUUGUGCAUCAAAUGCAUAAAAGCUGCUGAGGCAUUGGUCAGCACAAAUAACAUAACAAGGAACUCGUAAUGACCAUACCGAGUCCAAAAGGCAAUCUUCGGGAUAUCUGGCUCCCGAAUAUUCAAUUGAUGGUAACAUGAGCGCAAGUCAAUCUUAGAAAACACAUUUGCGCCCUGAAGCUGGUCAAACAGAUCAUCAACACAAGGCAAAGGAUAAUGGUUCUUCACGGUAACCUUGUUCAACUGGCGAUAAUCAAAACACACAUGCAUUGAACCAUCCUUCUUCUUCACAAACAAGACAGGACACCCCACAGUGAAACACUGGGUGGAAUAAAACCUUCGUCAAGCAAUUUCUGUAACUGAUCCUUCAAAUCCUUCAACUCAGGAGGAUCUAUACGAUAUAGAGGAAUGGAAAUGGGCUGAGUGCCCGGCAAUAGAUCAAUGCCAAAAUCAAUGUCUCUAUCAGGCGGCAUGCCCUAAAGAUCAGCUGGAAAUACAUCGAGAUAAUCCCAUACCACUGGGACAGAAUCAACAUAAGGGGUAUCCAUACUGACAUCUCUCACAUAGGCUAAAUACGCUGCUCACCCCUUCUCAACCAUACGCUGAGCUUUAAGGAAAGAGAAAACUCUACUGGGAGUGUGAUCUAAAGUACCACUCCACUCAAUAUGCUGAAUACCUGGCAUAGCCAGCAUCACGAUCUUGGCGUGACAAUCAAGAAUAGCAUAAUGGGGCAACAACCAGUCCAUGAACAAGAUAAUAUCAAAAUCAACCAUGUUGAGUAACAAUAAAUCUGCCCUAGUCUCAAAACCAUGAACAGUAACCAAACACGACCAAUAAACGCGGUCCACAACAAGAGAAUCUCCCACAAUAGUAGAAACAUAAACAAGGGCACUCAAAGAAUCCCGAGGUACACCCAAAUGCGGAGCAAAGUAAGAAGACACAUAAGAAAUAAGUAGAGCCCGGAUCGAAUAGAACUGAUGCCUCUCUAUAGCAAGCCAAUAUAAUACCUGUGAUAUAGAAUCGGAGGCAACAGCCUCGGCACGAGCAAGAAGGGCAUAAUAUCUGGCCUGGCCUUCCCCUCCCCCCUCCCCCGAGGGCAACCUCUACCUCCUCGGCCUCCACCUCUAGCUGGCUACGGGUGGGGCGGCAACUGGGGUUGUAACCAUAGCCUGAGAUCUCUGCGGGGCAUGUUGUGGCUGAGCAGUCUGUGAAGAUGCACCCUUACCAAGUCUGGGGCAGUCCCAAACGACAUGGCGUGUAUCACCACACUCUAAAAAAUCUCUGGGAGGACGCGGUGGUUGUGAAUGACUAGGGCUAGGUCUGUUGGACUGACCCAUGGAAACACCCCGUGCAGGAGGCUCGCUAGAACCCAGAGGUGCAUAAUAAGGCUCAUGAGGCACAGGCGGAGCUGGAGCACUGCUGGAUGCCGGAAGAGAUGAAUGAACGGGGCGACCCACAAAACCCCUACCAUGUCGACCUGUUGCUGGGGUACAGGUACCAAAAUAGUGGACCGACUCCCGAGACCUCUUGGCCUCUCUCUCCUCUCGCCCCCUAGCGUGCAUACUCUCAAUCCUUAUAGCAAUGCUCACUACCUGCUGAUAAGGAAUGUCCAUCUCCAACUCUCGAGCAAUGCUAGAUCUAAUAGGUGGGAUAAGACCCUCAAUGAACCUACAAACUCUCUCACGGACUAUAGCAACCAAAGCCGGUACAGGCCUGGCCAAUUUGGUAUACAGAUAGUAUACUCCAAAACCGUCAUAUCACCCUGGUGCAAAUGCUCAAACUCGGCGCCCAUGCGUUCUUGAGACUCUGGGGGACAAACUCUCUCAUAAACAUAUCCAAGAACUAGGUCCAAGUCAGUGAAGCAGCCUCGACUGAACUGUCAAUAUCAUAAGUGCGCCACCAAUCAUAGGCGGCUCCCCGAAGCUGAAAGGUAGUAAAGGAAACCCCGCUGGACUCUACUAUGCCCAUAAUGUGAAGAAUACGGUGGCACUCCUCUAGAAAUACCAAGGCAUCAUCUGUCGAUAGUCCACUGAAACCAGAGGAUCAUACUUCUUGAACCUCUCCAACCUCCACUACUCAUCCUCAGAAGCAGUUGCCCCAUCCACGGGCUGAACUAGCACUGCGGGCGGAACAAGAAUGAUCUCUAGAUCCUGCUCAACCUGCACUUGCUGCUCAUGAGUGCGGAUGGUGGGAGUCUGUGCUCCUCCCCUGGUCUGGGAUGUGGCUGCACUAAGGGAAAGCAACCCUACAUGAGCCAAGGUGGUGUACAUAGACAUGAGCUGAGCCAACGUCUCCUGAAGGGCUGGAGUAGUAGUGGCAGUAGUAGGCAUGCCAGGUGCCUGGGCUCCGGCUGGACCUGCUAGUAGUGCCUCGGCGGUAGCUCGCGUAGGUGCUCUAGCUGCACCACGUGCGAGUCCUCGACCUCUGCCCCGGCCCCAGCCUCGGACAGCUGUAAUAGGGGCGCGAGUGCCCGAUCAUCUCGAAAAGUGUGUGUCCUCAUCAUCUGUGAGAGAAUAAAAGACAGAAGUUUAGAUCCAAUGUCAAAAAAUAUUGCACGACAAGGAAAUAAUUGAAGCAAAGAUUCUUCCUGAACAGUUACAUAGCCUUUCAUAGAUAAGUACAUACGUCUCGGUACCGAUCAGCGAGACUCUAAUAAACUGACAUGUGUUCCGUGACUCCAAUAAACCUAGAGCUCUAAUACCAGCUUGUCACGAUCCAAGUUCACCCUCCAUGAACCUGUCGUGAUGGCACAUAGUUCCUACAACUAGGUAAGCCUAACAAUGCGGAAACUUAAUAUAACUUGUGGAAACAUUUAAUUAAAGUAAGCAAAAACUAGAAGAAAAACGAUAUAUAAAUGCCACUUGGCAUAUACAACUCCAAAAUAAAUGCGGAAGUCUACAACUCAAUCCCAAAACCCGAAAUCUCACGGGAACCACAUGAUAAUAGAAAAGUAACAUACUGUUCUAACUCCAGAAUGUCUAAACAACUGAAAUAAAAGGAAGGAAUAACUACUAAAGCUGGAACAGAAUAGAGACUCCUAGUCAACGGACGCAGCAGAUAUACUUCAAAGUCUCCUCUAGAUCUCUUCGCCUCGAUGGUAGUAUGCCUGAGUGGAGGUACCUAGAUCUGCACAUGAAAAACAUGCGCAAAAUGGGCAUGAGUACACCACACGGUACUCAGUAAGUGUCAAGCCUAACCUUGGUCGGGUAAUGACAAGAAAGGUCAGGGCCUUACUGAGAUUAAACAAUAUAAUAAAAAUCCUGACAACAGUAUACAGUAAGCAGAAACAAUGGAAUACAACUGUGAAGUAAGUCAGGUUACACAACAACAAUCAACACACAGAGGAUAAAAUAACACAGAGUACAACAACUCAAUAUCAACACCAAUUACGAGGAUCUUCCAAGAUAUCGUCAUGUAGUCCAUUUCCAUGGCAAUACCAACAAUGAGGAUUU